UACGAAGGGGGCUAGCGUUGUUCGGAAUUACUGGGCGUAAAGCGCGCGUAGGCGGUUUUGCAAGCCAGAGGUGAAAUGCCUGGGCUCAACUUAGGAAUUGCCUUUGGGACUGCGAGGCUUUGAGGACUGGAGAGGUGAGUGGAAUUCCCAGUGUAGAGGUGAAAUUCGUAGAUAUUGGGAAGAACACCGGUGGCGAAGGCGGCUCACUGGCCAGUUUCUGACGCUGCAGCGCGAAAGCGUGGGGAUCAAACAGGG
rnacentral:rRNA from 1 species